CAGUAGCCACGGUAAUACGUAGGUGGCAAGCGUUGUCCGGAAUUAUUGGGCGUAAAGGGCUCGCAGGCGGUUUCUUAAGUCUGAUGUGAAAGCCCCCGGCUCAACCGGGGAGGGUCAUUGGAAACUGGGAAACUUGAGUGCAGAAGAGGAGAGUGGAAUUCCACGUGUAGCGAUGAAAUGCGUAGAGAUGUGGAGGAACACCAGUGGCGAAGGCGACUCUCUGGUCUGUAACUGACGCUGAGGAGCGAAAGCGUGGGGAGCGAACAGGAUUAGAUACCCCCGUAGUCCCUGUCUCUUAUAC
rnacentral:rRNA from 1 species